rnacentral:lncRNA from 1 species
GAGGAGAGCCAUUGGAGGAGCCUCUAUGAGUUUCGACGCCCUCGGAGACAACCCAACCGAGGUGGCUUUCUAGUUUGAGCAAAUGGAAAGCAAAACGGUUGCGUUGGAGACUCAGCUGCACGACUAGAUGAUUCGUGCUGAUAUUGCCGAGGAGCAGGUUGGAGGACUCUUGGGAAACCGAGCCAACCUAGAGGUUACCAUACUCAAUAUGGGGGAUGCUCUACAGCUUUUUCAGUACGAGAGGGACUUGCUGCAGCUGCACAUCGAUCAGAUGCAGAACUUCCUCAACAACGCGCUCGCAGCCAACGUUCCAGCACAUGAGAUAUCCGAGCCCGAGGGAGAGGGACCACCUCCAGAUGAGCCCUCAGAGGAGGAGAGUUUUCCAGAGGAGGACACACCCGCCGCCAACACCCGCUCCAGAUGGGGAACCGAUGGAGCCACCACUUUCAUCGCACUCCCUUAGUCGUUUUGGAGACCACCACAUCUUACUUAGCAUAUAAUAAAAUUCGAGAAUGUGUUAGUCGUUGACCAUACAGAACUUUGUUGUAUGGCGACGUAGACCGUUGGUUCUUCUUUUCUUUUCUUUUUAUUUUAUUUUAUUUUCCUUUACUUAGGCCCUGGGCCAACAAUGAGUCUUUAUGUUGUUUAUUUGGAUCUUCAAAAGAAAUUUUAAGAAAGGAUUGUUGUUUGAUUGAUAUGCUUGUGUCUAUUUGGUGGAGGGAUAGAUAUCCUUAGACCUCUUCCAUCUAUAUUUUUCUUAUCUUUGCUAUCCUAAAACAGAUGCCACCAAGAUGCCAAACCCGCAACAAUGCCAACAACAUUGACAACAAUGCUGAAAAUAAUGCAGAGGGGAAUGAGAAUGCAGCAUUAGUGCAACAAUUACUGGCAGCCCAGACUCAGUUCAUCCAGUUAAUGACUCAGCAAAUGGCCAAUAAUAAUCAGAACCACAACCAGAAUCACAACAACCAGC